GAUCUGAAUACCCAGUGAAGCCUGGAGUCCAGGCAAGGGUGACAUUAUUCUCCUUCAUUUGGACCACAUGCACUGCCUGGGGGGCCUCUGGUAACACUGCAUGAAGAGAGACAGCCACCACCGCGAGUGACAUCAGUGACACGACACAGCAUCACACAGAAAAGCAGGCAGGCUCUGAGGAAAUGGUGACCCCCUGAAGUUCCGCCUCGCACCAGUACUUUCCGGCGUCCUGCUGCUGCACUGAUUUCAUGCUGCAAACAGACAGAAAAGCACGAGUGUGCCUCUACAGAGCUGCAAGCGAAAGGAUCCACCCAGCGGCGCAUGCUGCUGUCAUGGCGGCGGCAGGACAGAGUCACAUGAUCAGAAGUUGCCGGCCAAAGCUGACUACAUUCCAGCGUCUCCUUAUCAGGCUCCAGCUGUACCUGCCCAUUGGCCUCAUGCUGAGUUAUUUACAGCCGCUACCCAUGACACAGGCAUUGCAAAGGUGAUCCAACACAAAAGGAAACUGCCCUCCACAAACUCACAUGCAUGGAAGGGAGAAACUUGAGGAAUCACCUUUGGCUCUACCUGCAAUGUUGCUCUGACUGUUUCUCCUUAAAACACAAGAAAAGAAUUCCACAAAAAAUGCACCACAGAAGACACUGACGUCUGUCAUUACUCCAGAGGGUCUUUUAAAACAAGGACAGGCAAAAAGUCUAAGUGCUCUUUACGUGUACAAGUAGGGACAAGCCACACUGUCUAAUAAAACCUAAGUCUCAGAGAACAUGGUGGAUGAAUAAUCCAAAUGCAUCAUUAACUGAGCACAAACAGGUUAAAAAAAAGGUUUUGAAACAGUAGUUGCCAGCAGUAAGAUUUAUGGAAAACUCAGAGAUAAGCUAUCAAGCCCAGCUUACUUAUGUAAUAUUUAGCUGGUAGGCUCAUGUUUUUCAAUGCCUCUACUGUAGGAUCUCUGGGGGAAACAGCGAGUUUCUGGUUCUAGAUAGUUUCUUAAACAUGAUGGUAUGUAACUCCCAAUAAAGGCAGCACUACAGAAAUUACUGACUCG